CGAUCUACGACGAGUUCGUGGAGCGCAGUGCAGAUCGCGCCAGGAAGAGGAUUGCCCACGGUCCUUCGAUCUGGUGGAGCUGCCGGAGUUUGGAGAGCGAACCCUUAAGUCUGUUUCCCGGGGACCAGGAAAGCGACUACAGGACGGAGAAUCGGGGCCGAAUGUAUAUCAGGUACAGCAACAAGAAGCGGCUAGAAAAUCACAAUGCUAAUAUACGACGGAAGCUCUUCUGAAGCCCUACGACGCCUGAACCAUUGUCGCCGAAGACAGCGGUGGCCUCGUGGUCCUAGAUGCUCCCGGAUGCAUUUGACGAGGUGCCAGACACUGGGGAAAGGAAGAGCCAGAAAAAAGAAAUGGAUUUUUCAAAAGAAUCCUACAAAUCAAAAAGUAUUCACUAUAUAUUCAUUCUACGCUUUAAGUCCGGAAAUAAAGCUUUUCUGUUAUUAAGUUUAAUUCCAUUAAUAUUGAAUGGGCUUGGUACCUACCGACUGAAUAAACUGCCUCUAGUAUUUUAUGCCAUUUUAACCGAUGUUCUAUCAACAUAAGACUUUUUAAUCUGAACUUAUUUAAACAUCUCAAAAUUGGGAGAAAUCGUAUAAAUUACAGUCUGCUUUUCGGGUGACAAUCUACUACAGAUUGUUAGAGAUAGCCCCGUGGUUGAACCCAAUCUCAAAGGAGAACACACACGCCCUGAACACGCGCUCUGCUGAACGUAGAAAUAAUCCAAUUGCCAAUGAAAAUAAAUAGUAAAAGGGAUCACUUGAAAUAAUAAACACCAGAGACGGAUCAUGGAGAUCCUCAUGGCAAACAGCACCAGGGGCAGGAGUAGGAGUGGGCGGCGGCGGCGGCGGAGGUGUUGCGGACAAAAGCCCCGAAAUUGAAUUUAAUGAAAAGCGAAAGCAAAACACUGGAUCAGGCAGAGGACCAGGAUCAGCCCGAAAGGGGAACAACAGUCGAGGCAGAUCACCCACUUCCGUUCUGC